UACGGAGGGUGCAAGCGUUAUCCGGAUUUACUGGGUUUAAAGGGUGCGCAGGCGGAUAUGUAAGUCAGUGGUGAAAUCUCUAGGCUUAACCUGGAAAUUGCCGUUGAUACUAUAUAUCUUGAAUGCUGUGGAGGUAAGCGGAAUAUGUCAUGUAGCGGUGAAAUGCUUAGAUAUGACAUAGAACACCUAUUGCGAAGGCAGCUUACUACGCAAAUAUUGACGCUCAUGCACGAAAGCGUGGGGAUCAAACAGG
rnacentral:rRNA from 1 species